CCGAUAAGAUCAUUUGGUGUUAGGAAGAGAGAGAGAGAGAGAGAGAGGUUUACAUGCUGGUAAUAUGGCAGACAGUGGAACUGGCAAAGGAACAAUUACAGGUGACACUAUACUCAAAUCCUUCGACAGGAUUGGUAUCAGUCCAUGGUUUUUGAUUGUUGCAUGGAUCUGCAUCUCCACUGAAAUCCCAGUUCGUCUUCCCCAGUGUCUUUGCUAUGUCGGCUAAAGUUUGUACUACAUAUAUAUAUAAAACAAAGUGCAACAAUAAUUUAACACCAUAUGCUCAAUACUCAAUAUCUACAAAUUCAUACAAUUACUACCAUAUAUAUAAAUCCAAGCAUCAUAUUACUGAAAGCUUGUACCUACGUUUACAUAAUUAUAAGAUGAAGAAAGGAGAUUAAGGAAGAAAUUUGACAUAGAUAUUAAGAUUAUAUAUAUAUACGUAUACCUUCAUCUCGUGGCAACCGAGUAGCUCCAAAAGCAAAAUUGGCAGAGCAAACCACCAAGAGAUAAUGAAGAAAAAGUCGAGGGAAGAACAUAUUCAUCAAUUAAUUUUCUAUUGGAAACCUUUCCACAUUUGAAGAGGAAAACAGUGCCCAAAAUGAGAGCUUUUGAAUGAAGAGGUACCGUACGAUUGUGUGUAUGAAAGAUGGAUUUGUGAGGAGAGUAUUGGUGCUUACAGCAGCUUUUUAUAGACAGAGAAAUAUCGAGUAGACCUUCAAGGACUGAAACUUUAAAAAAAUUAUGUCAAAUACUUUAAAAAAAAAUUAUUAUUCUCUACCACUUACUUUAUAGUCUAAUCUCCUUUUCUUUCUGCAUAAAAUUACUUUAAAUUAAAGUAUAGAGAAUGAACUAGGAAUCGCCAUUCAAGACUUUUCUCAAGCAAUAAAUGCCGUACACGAAAUUAAUUAAGUGCAUUUUUUUUUUCUUUGUCAGAAUUGAUUGUAUACCUAUUUUCUUGUUUUAAAUUUUCUCCAACGCGGCUGUGGAAAAAUCCAAGUCAUCCAACGGAAUAUUUCUCAUGGAAUUUUCAUCCCUUUGUUACGCUGCUUUCUUUUUUGGUUUGCACGCCACUUUUGCUUUUUAUUUUAUUAUUUUAUUUUGUUUCAAUGUAUUGUGUUGUGUGGUUUCCUAUUUAAUUAAGAAAUAUAGUUUGACUUCAAUUAAUCCAUCCAAAAUAAGAAGCAUUAUUUAUGGUCAAAACAAUACAUCGUGCAAAAAUCUGUUUAGAAGCAAUGUUUUGAACAUCUUUUUCUAAAAUAUGUUUUGCAGAUUUGCAAUCAACUCGGAUUAAAAACUUUUGAUUAAGCAAAUCAUCUUGAAAUUUACUAAUGCAUAGUACAAUAGCUAAUAUUUCUUUUUUAAUAGUACUGUAAUUAUUUUGCGACUGAGUCCAAGUUCCAGAAUGAAAACGAACAAUCUGUUCUGGAGAUUUUGGACAAUUUCUUUGUUUGAGAAUGCCACCAUAACCUAUGUCAGAGGCAUCUGUUUCAACUAUCUUGAAAGAAUCAACUGAGGGAAUACCAAGACAGGGAAGUGUCUUGACAUGAGCUUUGAUCUGUUUGACAAUACGACCAAGGAGGAGGAUUAUUUUGCAAUCUGUCAAAUAUUCGUUUUCUUGGUUUCAAUAUAUGUCAAUCUCAAGUUUCUCCAAUUGAUCAAGUCAUUCAGUUUGCUGAUAAAUUUCCUGAUCAAAUUCUUGAUAAGAGUCAGUUGCAGAGGUUCUUAGGAUCCUUAAAUUAUAUUUCUGAUUUCUACAAAAAUUUGAGAAAACAACACUAGAAAGAGGAGUCCCGAGAUUAGUCAUCAACUAUAAGCCUCUUAAUGCAGUUCUAGAAUGGAUUAGGUACCCCAUACCUAAUAAAAGAGAUUUCAUUAAUCGAUUAGGAAAAGCAGUUAUCUAUUCCAAAUUUGAUAUGAAAAGUGGUUUCUGGCAAAUCCAAAUAGAAGAGUCAGAUAGAUAUAAGACUGCAUUUGUCACCCCUUUCGGUCAUUAUGAAUGGAAUGUAAUGCCCUUUGGUCUGAAAAAUGCUCCUAGUGAAUUCCAGAACAUCAUGAAUGAUAUAUUCAAUCCUUAUAGUCAGUUUUCUAUUGUCUAUAUUGAUGAUGUUCUAAUUUUUUCUGAGUCUAUAGAACAACACUGGAAACAUUUGCAUAAGUUCUUUCAAGUUAUCAAACAAAAUGGUCUAGUCGUUUCUGCCAAAAAGAUCAAAUUAUUCCAAACCAAUAUUCGUUUUCUUGGUUUCAAUAUAUGUCAAUCUCAAGUUUCUCCAAUUGAUCGAGUCAUUCAGUUUGCUGAUAAAUUUCCUGAUCAAAUUCUUGAUAAGAGUCAGUUGCAGAGGUUCUUAGGAUCCUUAAAUUAUAUUUCUGAUUUCUACAAAAAUUUGAGAAAACAAUGUAAGCCUCUAUUUGACAGAUUGCAAAAUAAUCCUCCUCCUUGGUCGUCUAUACAUACAGAAAUUGUCAAACAGAUCAAAGCUCAUGUCAAGACACUUCCCUGUCUUGGUAUUCCCUCAGUUGAUUCUUUCAAGAUAGUUGAAACAGAUGCCUCUGACAUAGGUUAUAGUGGCAUUCUCAAACAAAGAAAUUGUCCAAAAUCUCCAGAACAGAUUGUUCGUUUUCAUUCUGGAACUUGGACUCAGUCGCAAAAUAAUUACAGUACUAUUAAAAAAGAAAUAUUAGCUAUUGUACUAUGCAUUAGUAAAUUUCAAGAUGAUUUGCUUAAUCAAAAGUUUUUAAUCCGAGUUGAUUGCAAAUCUGCAAAACAUGUUUUAGAAAAAGAUGUUCAAAACAUUGCUUCUAAACAGAUUUUUGCACGAUGGCAAAGUAUUUUAAGCAUAUUUGAUUUUGAUAUUGAAUAUUUGAAAGGCAGUGAGAAUUCUAUUCCUGAUUUUCUCACUCGAGAGUUUUUGCAGGAUGCACAAUGGCUCCCAAAAAAGACAAACAAAAAGCAGUUGCCAGUCAAUCCAAACUUCCUGAGUCGCCCAAAUCAUCCCAGUCGCUCCGUGUCCUCCCCUCCUGAAUGAGUCAGUCAAAACCAGAGUUGCCCAAACAGAUAGUUCCCUAUCCUGGUUGCCCCCCUCUUUCAGUUGCCACACCAAUCUCAGUUGCAAAUCGAUUCUCUUCCCUUGGUUCCACAGUUGGCCAGAUACGUCCCAGUUAUCAGUCCACCCUAGUUUCUAGUUAUGACCCCUUUGCAGUUGAUAUCCCUGCAGGCCCAUCAGUUGUCUACAAAAAAUCAUCCCCCUAUUUGCCCAAGAGUAAUUCUCAUUUAUUUGUUAUUGAAUCUCUAUAUGAUGUUGAUGCAAAUCCAGUUGAAAUCGCCAAACACUACUUCCCUCCUGGAUUUCAUUAUAUGCCUCCAAGUCCUUAUAAGUCCCUCAAGUAUUAUAGAGAUAUACUACUUGAAACCCAGUCAGUUGAAAUUAAGCCGAUAAAGGAUCGGGAUCAUCCCGAAACCAUUCUUUAUCAUUCUUUAUAUAUUCACAGAAUUCUAAGCCAAGAAUCCUUCAGCAGUCGCCCUUAUGAAUUGAAAGUUCUUAAAUCAAAAUUGCAAUACAAUUAUUCUGAUUAUAUUGAAGCCUGGUAUACUAUCUUUCUUCACCAAUCUGAAGAUUUUAGUCAUUCCUGGUUUAUUAAUUUUGAUAACAAGUUCAAAAGUCCUUUCCCAUACUGGUUCCUCCAUUGGUGGGAAAAACAUGGCCCAGUUGAAGAAAUUCUCCCUGUCUCAGUUCUUGAGUUGAUUCGUCAUUAUACCAAAUAUGCUAAGUUCACCCAAGUUGAUCUGUUCUUUCCAAAACAGUUGCUUUUUAUUGCCAGAUACAAGGUCCCUUGGAUUCUCAAAUGGUCCUACAGAAUCACUAAGGAUAUCCGAGUAUUUGCCCGCCAAUUUUCAGUUAAAUGGUGGGAUAAGUUCGAAGUUGACAGAAUUGCUAAAUAUGUAUAUAAUGACCUCCCCCGGGAGCCAGUUCCUCGCCCAGUUUCUCCCACUGGAUCAGUCCGAUCUUCCUUAUCAGUUGAAGGAAAAUCCAAGUCUGAGCUCCAGGAAAUUGCCCGUCAGUUGAUCAUUCCGGCCUCUCAAAUGGAUGAUGAUGAGGACAAUGUUUCUCCCUCGUCGUCUAGUUGCCAACCCAUGCAGAGUCCAGCUAAGCCCAAAACCUGGUAUGAAGACAGCCAGGAUCCCUAUGAUGCCUACGACCUAGGAUCAGACUAAGUCAUCAGCAUCAUAAUUGCCCUAGUUGCAGCAUCUUCUAAAGCAGCAGACAAAGCACUGUUCGCUUUAGCCGAAAGUAGUCAUCAGUUGAAGCAUCUUUAAAGCAGCAGACAAAGCACUGUUUGCUUUGAAACAAAUCACCAAAAGUAGCCGAAAAUAUGUGUAAUUUUUAAAUCCAGUUGAUACUUGGCGUACAUGCACUUUCCAUAGCAUGCUUACCAUCAGUUGUUGACCAUUCCUAUUUUGGAUUAAUUUUGCUUAUAAGGAUUGAUGUGUUUACAUUUCUUACUACAAUUGCAGUAAGAUUUGAAUGUUGUUUAAGAGAAAAUAUGAGUGAUAUGUGUUAUAAAAAUGGUUAAGAACUAUCUUUUUACCGUCACUUGAGAAAUAUAUAAAUAUAAUUUUGAGGAAUAGGGAAGCCAUGAGUCGAAAAACUUAGAUGAGGACUCAAAGAAUUGGAAUUGGAUCAACUACUCCCUUAGUCGAAUAUCUCAUUCCUAAUUUUGAGAGUAUUUGAUUAUGGAAUUUAACGUAGAACUCACAUAAUUUUUGGUUCCCCAUGUGUUAAAGUCAUGAAUAAGAAUCAUUCCAAUUGUCAUGUGUUAGUAAACACAUAAAGCAAAAAUCAUUUCAAUACCCACAUGUUAGUAAACACCAUAGUCUAAAAUAUUGAUAAUAUGUACGAAAUAUCGAGGAUAUUAUCGUUUUUUGGGGACAAUGAUAUUUUGAAAUGUAUCCAUACAUAUAUUGUAUAAAUAUCAAUAAUAUCGGAAAGUAUCGAUGCCGAUAAUUUCUCUCAUACUUUAGCAAUAUUUGUCCAUUUCCUCGUCUAAGAAACCUUUAAACGAAAAAAAUUGAGGUGGAAUAUCUGAUAAUUUUAAUUAUAUUUUAAAUGAAGAAAUGGACUUAUCAAAAGUUUAUAUAAUUAUAUUAUAUAACAUGAAUGAAUUUUCCUGGUUGGUCAUGCAGGCACUUACAAAGCAUAUGAUGAUUUUAAUGUGCCCGGAAACUACUUGUUUACUGUAUUUAUUAUAAAUCAUUAAGUACAGUCUAUCUACUAUGUAAUUGUGGAAGUAGCACCCAUAAUACAAUGGUUUUGCAGUUUUUGUGAUGUCUUUUGGGAGUUAUAUUUUAUUUCCUCUAUUGCUAUGUUCGUAUUGUUAGUUUUUGUGCAGCUAAUGUUUUUAGCUUUCUGUGACAAACUUGUAAUCUUAUAUGCAAUUAAUCAAGCUCAAGAAAUUUAGGCUAAUUUAAGUCAGCAGUCAAAAUGAUUACAGAAAUUGAGAUCAAACAUGGCUCAAAUGGAUUGGAGCAUUGGAAGAUGACUUGUUCUUAUCUACUGUAUCUGUCUAAGCCGAAUCUGCUAGUUCAUGCCUUCCAACACUCAUAUUGAUAUUGCAUGACGAGUUCAAAACCACAUUGUUUUGUAGCAGAAUGCUGAUUUCCACCAUUCUCUUUCAAAUAGAAACAGUAACAAACCUUAGCUUCCAAGUAAUUUAUUCAGUUUUCCUGACUCUAAACCUCUGCCCUCUAUUGCAAAUUAUGUCAUCGUAAUGCAAUCUUUUCAAAAGAUAUAAUAUACCAGCUUCUGUGCUGUAGCAAAGUUGAUCCAAGGGAUUCAUAGUUUACAUUUACCAAUUUACCAUGCUGUAGAAACAUCUAUAUUAUUCUUUCAGCUAUCUUGCCAAACAAAAAAUAUAUAUGCGUGUGUAUAUAGAGGGGGAGUAGAGAUGAUAUAUGAACAUAAAUGUUUGAGAGUCAAGACAGUUUGCUCAGUUUCUCUCACUUCUGUUGUCCCAGUAAGUUGAAUCAGGAUUGACUGGAUAGAGAUCAUGAGCAGAUGUAGAUGAACCAGUCCAAGGCCCUUCAGUUGACGCAGUUUGUGUCUGGCUCUCACCGGUUUUCCUUCCGAAACUGGAUUCAAAAUGUUUCCUCAUUGCUUCGAUCUCAUUAGUUGAGGCAUUUGGAUCUGAGACCAAUUCCUGAACAGCAGCCCUGCCUUCAAGCAUGCUAACGACUGAAGACAUGGUAGGCCUAACUGUUGAAGUGACAUUGCAGCAGAGGAGAGCCACAUUGAUUGUAAGCAUCAUCUCUUCUUUGUUGAAGUCUGAGCCCAACCUUGGAUCCACUAGGUCCAUCAAUCUCCCUUGCCCUUUUAGUAGUUGUGCCUAGAAACGUAUAUUGUCAGAGAUAAUUUGUCUUUACAAAUAAUUUCACUGAGCUUACAUAUAUUGUCAGGGAAAGAUAAUGUCAAAUGAAGCCAGACUUGAUUUUGGAUCAUCAUUAAAACUAUUGCAGUAUCAGUCACUUUCUCUCAGCCACAAACAUAGAAUAGAGAUCAACAGUAUCAGAUUAAAUUUAACUUUAAAUAAGGAAGCAGUAGAAUCAUGUUACCCAAUCAAGAAGAUAAAAGCUUUUUUCCUUUGCUCUGUAAGUGGUGUUGUUCCUCCCACUAACAAUUUCCAAUACAAGAAUUCCAAAGCUAUAAACAUCUGCUUUAUCAGUCAGAUAACCCCGCAUUGCAUAUUCAGGCGCCAUAUAUCCACUGCAAAAAAUCGCUCAUCAUUUCCCCAUAUUUAGCUUAGCGAAAUACUAAAAAUACUACAAAGUUUCUUUAACAGUGUAGAUCCAGUUAAGUUUGAAACUUAUAAAAAGUUGAGAAACCUCCAUCUGUUUCCUAUUUCUAUGGACCCAUCAUCGGGGUGGAAGAAAUCAAAAUAAAAGUAUAAGAAGAAAAAAAACAGCACAGGGACUCACUAAGUUCCAGCAAUACGGGUGCUAAUGUGUGUAUUAUCCUCUUCAUCAAGCUUGGCCAAUCCAAAGUCAGAUAUCUUUGGGGUAAGAUUUUUAUCAAGCAGCACAUUAGUAGCCUUGAUGUCUCUAUGAACGACCUUCAAUCUUGAUUCCUCGUGGAGGUAAGCCAAACCUCUCGCUAUACCAACACAGAUCUUGUGCCUUGUUGGCCAAUCCAACUUCAACUGACUUUCUUCCGGCCCUUCAAUUUGUCAAAUUACUCAAAGUUAGUUAUAAGGGGCAUCUUUUUUAUGUAUAAGAUCUUUUAUACCCAUAUGCAUGAACCAAAUGAAUUUUAGGCAUACAAGAGUAAUAUUUACCAAACAAAGAACGAGCAAGGCUAUUAUUUUCCAUGUACUCGUAGACAAGCAAUAGUUGAUUUCCUUCAAUACAGCAUCCGUGAAGCUUGACAAGAUGAGGGUGUUGCAGAGCAGAAAUCAUGCCUAUCUCAUUCACGAAUUCACGAUUCCCUUGCUUUGAUUUGGAAGAAAGCUGCUUGACAGCAAUUACGGUGCCAUCUGAUAGAAGGCCCUGCAUUUGAGAAACAAAGUCAAAAUCCCUUUACUAAAAAGCAGAGCAACUUUAGUAAGAAUGCUUACAAUUAGUCAAGUUAGCCCAACAGCAAUAAAUAAAUAGAAAUAUUGGUUCUGCAGAAUACCUUGUAAACAGAUCCAAAACCACCUUCUCCAAUCUUAUUGGCUUUGUCAAAGUUGUUUGUGGCAGCUUUGAGUUGCCUGAAGCUAAAUUUACCAGUUUGCAGGUCCACGCCCUUUAAAUCUGUGUAAGAAGCAAACUCAUAUAAGAAAUUGUGUCUAUACGAAUUUCAUGUUAGUAGCACUUUUAUUUCUUAAUAUCAUGCGACUGAUUCAAGGCCUAGAAUUUAACAAGUAACUGGAUCUAUAGGUAAGCACACUUUGCAUCAAAGGUUUCAACAGUAUAAUAUAUUCUAGCAGCAUCAAUCAAGGCGUCAGAAAGUUCAAUAUCUAAAUAAAUAUAAACUGUGCGUACCAUCCUCCAAAGUAUUUUCUUGUCCUAGGUGGCCUCUCCUCCAAAGAACACCAAAAAUCAGUAAUAUAAUGAAGACUCCUCCCCCCACAAUUCCAACUACUGCACCUACAGAUAUGCCAUUUCCACCAGGUACAUAGUCGGCUGGAAGAAGAAUAGCUUUAUUAGAGUAAAUGCAAAUGUAAUAGGUAAGAGAGUGCAAUGUUCAAGCAAUGCGCAAAGAAAAAAAAGAUUCAACGGAAUUGCAUGCACUGUCUUGGGAAACGUUAAGUAGAUAGUAAACGAAAUUGUUCCGCUGCCAUGUAAAUAUUAUAUGUUUGCUUAGGUGAAAAGGACAAUUUUAAUGUAAAAAAUAAAAAAUCCUUGAAGUUGCAUUUAAAAGCACAUACCAGUCCCAUACAAAGAACUGCAUUAAUCAGUUAUGUGAUAGGAAAUUUGAAUAGACAUCAUUUCUUCAAGACUUGAUUCGAACUAGGUAAAACAGAAAGAAAGGGGGAAAAUACAUAUGGGAUGCAAUCAAUUUAUUGAGCACCAUACAGUCCUGAUCAGUUCCCCUGCAGAACUAAAGGCGGAUCUCUUAAUUGUGCUGAAAUAUUAAUGCCUAACAUGAUAUUUACAUAUGAGAAACUCCCAAUGGUCUAAGUAGUAAUUAAAAGAAGAUCAUAACAGUGUAAACUUACCAUGUUUUACAGAAAUGGCUGAUAUAAGAGGACCAUAAACUCCUCUAAGAGGGAUACCGGUCGUCCCUUUCCCAGCCCAAUAGAAACGGAUCUCCAAGGUACCACUAGUUACACGAGCAGUAUACUUCAUUAUGACUGCAGUACCAACCCCACCAGCUUUGUCCACAAUAUUGAAAUCCUGCUCCACUAGUCUCCCCUGCAAUAUCCUAGUUUUGUUACAUAACAUUUCAUGAUCGUAAUGUUGUUUACAAGUUAUUACUAGAAAUUCUUAAACAUUUGAAUUGACCAGGAACUAAACAGUGUCUGUUGACCUUUACCUGAAUGUAAACAUCAAAUAUACGCCUUCCGAGGCUUCGAUAUGAUUUGUUAUUUGUAAACUCUGUCUCUACAAAAUGGAGGUUUACAAAGUAGUUUCCAUUUCUCAGACAAAACCCAUAGUAAGUUAGAGAGAGGGGAGAGAGGCGUGCAUGCGUGUACAGAUCUGGGUUUGCCAUAGAGAGUAUAGAUUUAUUAGUUUGGAUAAAGGUGUCUUCAGGACGGUCAUCAUCAAUAAAGUAACCAGUGCUGCUGAAAGCCCAAUUUGGUGAGGUUUGGCGAAAUGAAGAAGGUCCAGCCCAAUCUUCGUCACCAUCAAACUUGAACCCAUUAACAGUUACUGCUUUUCCACCACAAUUUAUACGGAAUUCGUACCCAGCUACAAUAGAAAGCAAAAGGGGAUUAGUGGCCAUACAGAGAGAUUUCUUCUUUAUCUCUUCUAUUUCAUUUCAAAGGAACUGUCAGAGGAUUAGUCGACAUCUUAAGCAAAAGGACUAUGGGCAUAUCUUGAAGCAAUAUGUGGAAACCCAACUUACUUUGUGGACAUGUUGGAAUUUCCAAACAUGUGGUUUUUCUGAUAGGAGAAUGCAGCAGGAUCCAGAAGAAGUCAGCAAGAUAACAUCAUAAAUGAAAAUAAGUUGUAUAAUAAAAAUUAAGAAUACACAGUUGGAAUGCCAAGUAAAUUUAUCUAUGCAUGUUUUCAGAGGAUUAAUUUGUAACUUACGAACUAUUGGCCGCUGAAAAGCUUUCAAACAAGUUCCUGUAGAAAUUAACAAAAAUUGAAAAAUUGGUUACAAGACACAAACACAGUAAACUCAAGCUAAUGAAGACAUUCUUACAGGUUGCUGCGUUUUGAUGGACAACCUGUAGCCCCUAUGGUGAAUUUGUUAUAUGAAAGAUCACUGCACACAAAUUUCCAAAUGCGGCAGUAUGAGAAUAGAAAAUAAAAUGAGGAGCAGUAUGAGAACAGAAAAUAAAAUUUCCAAAUGCAGUAGUAUGAGGUAAGUAUUUGUUAGCGAGAUCGUAGCUUUAGGAUAUUUAUUUCUCAGUCUAUUAGGACUCUAUUUUUUUUUUUUUUACAGAUAUUGUGUAAUUAUGAUUUUAUUUUAUUUCCUUGUAUAACCCUACUAGGGUUACAACCUUGUAUUAUAAAUACCUCAUUUUGGAAAAUGAAAUAUAUCUGAAAAUAUUCUACCCAUAUUGUUUGACUUAGUAUCAAAGCCGACUUUCUAUUGACCUAUGUGUUGUGCCCACCCGUGUUUUAGCCCCAUAUUUUUUUCUACCUGUGCCAUGUAUGCCCUCAUGGGUUUGUGUGUUGUAUUGUAAUAUUUGUGCCUCUACUAUGUUCGUGUCAUUCCUGUCUUGGUGCAUCUGCCGUAUUUAUGCCUCUACUGUGUUCUGCUGUGUACUCUGCCGUGUUCGUACAUGUCUUCGUGCAUCUAUCGUAUUUAUGCCUCUGUUGUGUUCCACUGUGUACUCUGUCGUGAUCUGUUGAGUUUUUGCUGCAAUAACGGGUGAUAACUCUAUUGUUGCUGCUGUUGCUGCUGCUUCUGCAAAUUUGUGUGCUUCUGACUAUAUUCCAGGUACUGACUCCAAUACUUGGAUAAUUGACACUGGUGCUUUUGAUCAUAUGACUUAUGAUGCUAAAUUUUUUGAUGAGUUGUCUAGUAACACCUGUAACUCAUACAUAACUAGUGCUCUCCAAUUACUGGUGAGGGCACAAUCUCUCUCACUCCUACUCUAUCUUUGUCUCGUGCAUUACUAGUUCCCAAUAUCCAUUAUAACUUGUUAUUUGUUGAUCGAUUACUUGAUACAUUUUAUGCUUAUGCUAUUUUAUAUCCUACACAUUGCUCUUUUCAGGAUCUCAAGACUCAUAAGACGAUUGGGUAGUAAAUAGAUAAGGGUGGUUAUAUUAUUUGACAUUGCAUUCUGCACCAGUUUGUGAUCGUGUCGUUAGUACUGUUCAAAUUUGCAAUGUCAAAGACAAACAACAAAUUUGGUUAUGGUAUCACUGCUUGGGACACCUGUCGUUUGACUACCUUCAGCGUCUGUUUUCCAUCUAUAGAUGAGUCCAGUUUUAAGUGUGAGACAUGUAUUUUGGCUAAGAGUCAUCGCACUGUGUUUCCUUUGAGUGACAGUAAAGCUGCAAAACCUUUUGAUUUAGUGCAUUAUGAUGUGUGGGAUCUGGCUCGCGUUACUUCGAACGAAUUUCAUUAGUUCGUCACAUUUAUUGAUGAUUGUACCUGAUUUACUUGGGUUUUCUUGUUGAAAAAUAAACAUGAUGUUGCUUAUAUCCUUCCAAAGUUUUAUACUAUGGUGUCUACUCAGUUUCAAGCUUGGGUCAAAGUAUUCUGGACUGAUAAUGGAAGAGAAUAUGUGAAUAAUACUUUGGCUUAUUUCUUUUUUGCUCAAGGUAUUUUUUACCAAACGACAACCCCGUUUACCCCUCAACAAAAUGGUGUCUCUGAAAGAAAGAAUCGACAAUUGCUUGAAUUUGUUCGCUCACUCAUAUUGGAUGUCUAUUCCCCAUCAUCUUUGGGGGCAUACUGUUCUGUUUGCUGCCUAUUUGAUUAAUCGUAUUCCUAGCCGAGUUCUUGAUUUCAAGACUCCGCAUAAUGUGUUUAGUAAACAUGUUUCCCCUAUCUCCGUCUCUAAGUCGCCCCCUAAAGUUUUUGGAUGUAUUGCCUAUGUUCAUGUCUACUCUCAUAAUUAGAGUAAACUUGAUCCUUGUGUUAUACGUUGUGUAUUUAUUUGCUACUAUUCUACUCAUAAGGGUUAUAAGUGUUAUCAUCCAUCUACCCAGAAUGUGCAUGUUACUUUGAAUGUGAUUUUUCAUGAAGAAAUGCCAUAUUAUGUUUCUCCCUCUUUUCCAAUUCAAGGGGAGAUGGAAAGUGAAUUUGAGAGUCUUGAAUUAGAGAAUCUUGAACUUAAAUUGGAGAAUGAUGUGUUUGAAGAUACUGCUCUCGGGAAGGAAACGACCGGUUGCAUUGAAUCAAGCCACCGGUCACCCAUAUCUGUAGAUGAAACAUGUGGAAUGUGAAGAAACGACAAGUCGUCCUUUAGAACUCGACCGAUCGCCAAUAUUUGGAGAUGAAGCAGGUGCUCUCGCUGUCAAAAUGACCGAUCGCACUGAAGCAAGCGACCGGUUGCCUGUAUCUGAAAAUAGUGACGGUGAUUCUUGUAUGGAUUAGCUCGAUGCCAUACCCCUCUUUGUCCUGCCAGUGCCCCAGUCUACUCGUGAUAAUGCAUCAAGUGAGGUAAUUUCUAAUGACCUAUAUGUGUCAACUUAUCAGUUACUGCCACGAACCACUUGUGGCAAACCCAAAGUACAAUAUUCCCCUAAUGUACAUGCCAAGUCUAAAUAUCUCAUUAGCCAUUAUGUGUCAACUCAUCUUUUGUCUAAGUCAUAUACAUCAUAUUUGUGUCAAUUAUCUAGUAUAUGUGUGCUAACUAAGCUGCAAGAUGCUCUUUCUAACACCAAAUGGGUGGAUGUUAUGAAUGUUGAAAUGGAAGCAUUGAACAAGAAUGAAACUUGGGAUUUAGUCACUCUACCAAAAGGGAAGAAAGCUGUUGGGUGCAGAUGGAUGUUUACUUUGAAGCAUAAAUCUACCGGUUCCAUUGACCGUUACAAGGUUAGAUUGGUAGCAUAAGGUUAUAAUCAAACUUAUGGAGUUGAUUAUUUGGAGACCUUUGCUCUACUAGCAAAACUCAAUGUUGUACGUGUGCUCUUGUCCCUGGCUGCUAAUCGUGACUAGCCUUGUUACAAUUUGAUGUAAAGAAUGCAUUCCUACAUGAUGACCUCAAGGAAAAAAUAUACAUAGAUGUUCCUCCUGGUAAGCAGUCUCCAAGAGCAUGGUUUGGGAGGUUUGUAAUAUCUAUGAAGAAAUUUGGGUAUGUGCAGAGUAACUCAAAUCAUACUUUGUUUCUAAAGCGUCAUAAAAGUAAAUUGACAGCAUUAAUUAUUUAUGUUGAUGAUAUGAUUGUAACUGAAGAUGAUCAGGCAGAAAUGAAAAAUCUUCAGAAGUAUCUCGCUUCUAAGUUUGAGAUGAAAUUAUUGAGUGAUUUGAAGUACUUUCUUGGAAUUGAAGUUGCCAUAUCUAAACAUGAUAUCUUUUUUGUCCCAAAGAAAGUAUGUUUUGGAUUUACUUGCAGAAACUAGAAUGUUGGAUUGUGAACCAAUUGAUACCCUUAGUGAAUAGAGUAAUAAGUUAGGGUUGUAUCCUGAUCAAGCUCCUACUGAUAAAGAACAUUAUCAAUGACUUGUGAGGAAAUUGAUUUAUUUAGCUCAUACACGUCCCGACAUUGCAUAUGCAAUGAGUGAAUGGAGUCAAUUUAUGCAUUUUUCUAGUGAAGAUCAUAUGGAUGAUGUGAUGUGUAUUUUGAGGUUUCUAAAAGCAACUCCUGGCAAUGGGUUAAUGUUUUUCAAGUAUGGUCAUACAGAUGUGGAAGGAUAUACGGAUGCUGAUUGAGCUAGUUCAGUCAUUGAUAAACGUUCUAUGUCUUGGUAUUUUACAUUUAUUGGUGGUAAUCUUAUUACUUGAAGGAGUAAAAAGCAAAAAAGUGGUGUCUCGGUCUAGUGCCGAAGCCAAGUAUCAUGGGAUGGCUCAAGGUGUGUGCGAGUUACUACGAUUAAGGAGAUUGUUGAGAGAUCUUGGGUUUGCGCCCUAGAAACCAAUGGAUUUGUAUUGUGAUAACAAAGCUGCAAUUGCGAUUGUUCAUAACCCUGUGCAACAUGAUCAUACAAAGCACGUGGAGUUUGAUUGACAUUUUAUUAAAGAGAAGAUGGAUGUUGAGAUUGUUUCUUUUCCGUUUAUAUCAUUUGAGCAUCAACUGGCAGAUAUAUUUACGAAAAUUGUGUCUACUACCAUCUUUCUCAACUCGUUUGACAAGUUAGGCAUACGUGACAUCUUUGCGCCAACUUGAGGGGGAGUGUUAGCGAGAUCGUAGUUUAAUUAAGAGAUUUAUUUCCUAGUCUAUUAGGACUCUAUUUCUUUCUAUUUUGUACGGAUAUUGUGUAAUUAGGAUUUUAUCUUAUUUCCUUGUAUAACCCUACUAGGGUUACAACCUUGUAUUAUAAAUACCUCCUUUUAGAGAACGAAAUAUAUCUGAAAAUAUUCUACCCAUAUUGUUUGAUUGUAUUCACAUGAUUGGAUUGAAGUUUUUUAUAUCAAUUCUAGCGAGAGUUAAUUCUGAAAAUCCAAUAUUAGUCAUAGGCGCCCUAAGCUCUCACAACUGUCCAAGUUAAGCCAAGUUCACUUUCAAAUUUCCCUUGGAACUAUCUUCAAUGUCGAAUCUUAUCCUUCUAUUGAAAAAUAAUGUUCAUUUUUAUUCUACACAGUUCUAGAAGAAUCAUGAAUACAAGAACGAUUCUAGAGUUACAGAGAACAUACUAUGUUGGCUAGACAAAGAGAAUUGAAAUUGGAAAAACUUUCUAGAAGCAAGAAAAUUCAUGUUGCUAGAUUAUGCAAGUGGAGCAUGAUGGCUAAACAAUAGCCACAAAAAAUAUUAUACAAUAUAGAAUAUUCUAGAUGAAGCCACACACUUGUGGCUGGAGAAAAAAAUGCCAAGUCGGUGGAUCAUGAUGUCGGCAAAGAAUGCCUAUAAAAAGGCAUGCAAUGCAACAAAGCAAGGUGGAGUCUAACAAAAAGAACUCCCAAACUAAUGGAGCCAAGAGCUACUCAGACAAAGCUAUGUUGAAGAGCCAAUAAGCUCACCAAUCUAAGUGUGAAGGGCCAAAUAGCUCAAACUAUUCUAAAUCAAGUGUGGUGGCCAAUAAGCCAAUAAGUUAAGAAGGAUGCCAAUUAGCCUACAUCAAGCUAUGUACUAUUCUCUUCCAAUAUAAUAAAUCACUUUGUUCAACUAUUGUACUAUUGUCCUAAAUCCCUUCACGCAUAAACCAACAAUGGUAUCAGAGCAUCACAAACACUAAUCUCACCUACUAUAUUCCAACACCUUCCUUGUCUUCCCACACGUGACACAUCCAUCUUGACAUUCUCAUUUCUUCCACUCAUUUUAUGAACAUGUUGUUUUCUAAGUGCCAUAUAGCAUGGCUGGUCUACCAAUUUAUGCAGAGAAUGCUUUGGAGAUAUGAGGGAAACCUUGAAAAAGGCUUAGGGAUCAUAAAACUUAGGGAACAUUUUAAGAUAAUUAUAAAGAAAGUACAUUAAUGCCUAUUUCAUGAAUAUAAUUGUAUGUCAAGCUCCAUUAUGAAAAGUUAUGUCAUAACGAAUGCACUAUGCUUUAUCCAGUAAUAGACAGCAUAAAUCUCCUUACUAAAUAACUAAAGACUAGACUUUGGAAGAGAAGCUUACACUUCUUUUUUCGUCCAAGUAGGCACGGGUCCGGUCAGCAAGUUUCCAGUUAAGAAUCUAAACAUAAUUGGUACAGGAAAAACGGCAUAAAUUACUAGAAAGGGGUAUAAACAAAAGCAAUGAAUUACUAGAAUGCUAAGCAUGAUUAACACGACCAGCUUGUAGGGCAGGGUUGUGACAAAGCCAUUGAAGAAUGUCUGCUUGAGUUUUCUUGUAAUAAAGUCAAGAUUUGUUAUUCAAAUUGCUUACAUAUAUUUCACUUCUGCCAGAGCAACAAAGCGGCUUGGAAUUUCCCCGGUUAGCUUGUUAAAGCUGAGGUCUCUGCACAAACCAGUAACAAAUGCAUUUCAGAUAUGCUCCCCCGGAGAGAAACAUUAUUUAACUUAAUAAUAAUAAUAAUAAAAUCACUCCAAGAUUCGGGUAAGUGUAAAAUCUAUGCCUACGUACAUGUGUGUGAUUGCGUUGAUUACGUAAAAAUAGUAUCUAGAAAGAAGAUAAUUUAUUUAUCUGAAGACAGAAAUAAUAAAAAAUAAAAAAAGGGACAAAAGACAUUUGUACUAACAAAGUUUUCAAAUUCUUCAUGUUCUCGAGAUACUGAGGUAGCUGUCCAGUUAUAUUGCAACUCCUCAAAAUCCUGUAACAGAAACACUAAAAUUUUGAGUUUGCAAAAGACUUCAGGUACAGACAGAAAUUGUGAUUCAUGGAAGCAUUAACUCACAGUGUCUUCAUGCCUUCCAUAUUCUCAAGUGGAGGAAAGGGUGCUUCAGGCCCACUCAAGUCAGUAAUUCUCCUGCAUGUUAAAAUUGAGCAAUGAACAUAGAUUACAGAAUUGCUAAUCUGUUUGUAUUUAUAAGUAGAUACAAAAUCAAAAUCCAUACUAACAAGUCAGUUAAUUUUGUUAAAAGAGAAAUGCCGGAAGGAAUUGGCCCCGUCAAACCACUAGCCUGAAUCAUUCUGUUUGAACAAGUCAACAUUUGAAUUAGCGAUAAUAUUCAGAAUCAAGUAGUAGCAAAGAUAACAAAAAAGAAAACUCACAUUUUGUCAAGAUUUGUCCAGUUCUGAAUAAAAUGAGGUAUCUGCCCGGUAAAGUGACUGUCACCCACCCGGCUGCAUAAUGAUUGGCAAAAGGAAAAUAGUACCAAUUAAUACUAUAAUGCGGUAUUUGGGUGCUUUUAGGAAACCUUUAAGAAAAAAGAACAACAGAAGCUUACAAGUCUUUUAGUGUGGUAAGAUUUCCAAAUGUAUCUGGCAACUCCCCAGUAAAAUUAUUUGAGUUAAGAAGCCUAACCAUGAAGGAGACAUAACAAUUAUAUUAAAGAUACAGAAGUCGAUGAUUGCUGAUGAAAAUAUCCAGCAUCUGUCUGUCAGGAUAAAACUCGAAAUAGGACAAUCUUACAUGCUUUCUAUGAGGGUCAAAUUCCCAAGCUCCCGAGGGAGCUCUCCAGAGAAAUUAUUCAUACUGAUGUCCCUACACAAAGAAAAUUCAAUUCCACUGAUUAAAAAAGAUCAUUCCAUAAAAUCAAGUGGGGGAAAGAAGAAACAAAUGCGUAAUCAACACUCACAAACGCUUCAGGGUGGUGAUGUCUCCAAGCUCUUUGGGGAUAGGACCGGUCAAACGGUUUCCAAGAAGGGAACUGCAACAAAACUCGUGUUUGGCCAUCAAGAUGAAUGCAACAAAUAUGUUAGAUUCAACAUUUAUGAUUCAAAUGGCUCAUGGCCACUCAAAGGCCAUGAAUAUGAACAAAAUCCAUGUAGUAGAUUUGUAGUUUAAGAAAGAAAUGGCUAAAGAAUAUUGAAGUUGCCACUAAAACAAUAAGAACAUGUCAUGAACAUCAACACACACACGCAUGUAUGCAUAGCGAAAAAAGACCGUACAUGUUGACAAGUGAAAGGGAGCCCCAUUCUGGAGGGAUGGUACCACUCAGGUAGUUGCGGGUGAGGUCACUGCAGGAGAAAGAAAGAAAUGAGGCAUUUUCCCAUUGACAACAGACAUACAUGUAAGGUAACAACGUGCUUACAUUUCUUCGAGAUAGCUGAGCCUGGCCAUCUCUUUUGGGAGUGUUCCUGGCAAAUCCUGAGCUUUCAUAACUCUGUGCUUCAUCACAAAACAAGGUUUCAAAUCUUAAUUGCAAUUUAACAAAGACCUGACUGUGACUAAGAGGAAAUGCUUCCACACAGAUGAGACCAAAACAGUUAAUUAUUUAGAGGGUAAAGACUCGACUUCAACUCAGGCAAUGUCCUUAAAAAGAAUAAAACUUGCAAUUUUUUGGUCACGAAGAAUAAAACUUGCAAUUACACAAACAGUUAAUAUGCAUUUGUCCUGUAGUGAUAAUUAGCAAGCCAGCUUUGUCAACAAGUUCCAAAACAAUGUCAAUUGUGAGAAUGUGAAGGUGAAAGUCUCACAUUGAAAAGUUGAGAAACUUAACAAAGGCUUAUAAAAAGUUGGGUUACUCUCCCUAUUGCCAAUUGAUUUUGGGAUGGAAUCUCAACUUCCUUCAUGGUAUCAGAAUCAGAUUAGCCCACAUAUGAAAGCCCAAUGACCACUUGAGGGCUGGCUUGGUUUCAUGAGCCCCAGCAGCUGUCCUGGCCAGCCCUUGCUGAUAGAAAUGGUUUUUGGGCCCAAACCAACAAACCAACCCAAUCCCCUGCCCAGUACUCUUACACAUUGAUAGUGUGCAUGAGAAAUUUCACAAAAAUUGAACGUGGCAACAGCCAACUCCAUGCGGUGCCGACAGUCCCUUUUUUUUUUUUGGUCGAAAAGCCGACAGUCCCUUUUGAUUCCCAGUUAUUUUGGAGGUGGCAUGAUGAUAUUUUAAGUCAAUUGGGGGGCCAAUGUGAAAAUGAUCAAUAAUUAAUUGAUAUAGACGCAGUCCCCAGAAACCCAGAAAACCAAAUGUCCAAAUCAGCAUCUCUCUCUCUCUCUCUCUCUACAAACUUACAGCUGAGCUAAUGGUCAUGGGUCAAUCAAUCAAGGAAGGUUCAUGCACUGAUUCUUCUUUCACUUUCAGUUUCAGACAAAAAAUUCUGAGAUGAUAUGACUGACUUGUUUAAUACUCCUAACAGUAUCAACGUCAAAAUUAACUUAAGCAUAUGUAAAUAACCUAUACCCUAACACUACUCAUGUCACUUAAUUUAAGAGGAGCUUUUAAGAGCGCAUGCAAUAGUAUACUCUCGUAGGGAUAGAAUUAGUGUGGAGUUAGGUGGAACCAAGGACUAAAAUAUCGAUGAAAUAUCAUCAAUAUUAUCGUUUUUUUGGGUCUAUGAUAUUUUGAAACAUAUCCAUAUACAUAUAGUAUAAUUAAUAUUUGGAAAUAUCGACGUUGAUAAUUUCUCACACGCUUCAACAAGAUUUGGCCAAAAAUAUCGAGAUGAUGAAGACAGUGAAAAAUUUGAGCCUCAUAGAAACUUAUGUGGUACUAAGUCACUCAUGUCUCUUAUCAUGCAAUGUAUAAAGUAUAAAAUAUUAUAGUAAAUCAUUAUAAAUAAAUGAUUAUGGUGUAUUUAAUAUUCUUUUAUUAAUUACUACAAAUUUUCUACACUCCCGGUGUUUGUCAGCUCGCUAUAUAAUCAACUUAAAUCAGUUAAACCCAUCAUGUAAUGCAUUUCCUUCAAAAAAAUUUUGGAGAAACUAAUACAUAAUUGACUAAAUAAACAUCCUCCAAAGUUUCAAUAAAAAUUUCAAAGUUUUUCUUACAAUUUCCAUAGUUUUUAUUCAAUUUUUACCGAUAUUGAUAAUUUUCCGAUAUUUCCAUUGAAAUUGCCAUGUUUUCAGACCAUCGAUAUUUUAGACCUUGGGUGGAACUAAAAUUGAAAGAUAUCCUUACUUUUGUGAGGGUUGACAAACAAUCCACUAGAUCUGGCAGGUGGACAUAAGAAUUUCUCGUAAUUUAAAACUUGCAUAACAUUAGAGGCUCUCCUACCUUAGAAAGUUAGAGAAUCUGUUAGAACCAAAAGAAAAAGUUGGAUUCCAUGCAUAUAACACAAAAGUUGAAGGACUUUAAAUUUUGAGACUUCAGAUAUAUGGAGUAGAGUAAGUAAAUGCUGCGACUGUCUUCUUCACCGACAACAUGAGAAAGGCUCAUUUAAAGUCAUCAAAAUUUGGCCAUCGUGAGUAUACUAGUAUUAUACAAAUAGCAAUUUUCUUGGAGUAUAUAUAUAUAAUGGGAUAAUUCUGAAAGGGAAAAAAAUAAUAAUAUACAUAAUACAUAUAUAUCGCCAAUGAUCUAAUAUUCCCCAAAAAAGUUUGUGGUUUACAUGGAUAUGGUGGUGAUGGUGUCACCCCUAAACAAAGAUCAUUUGGUGUUAGGUGGUGAGAGAGAGAGAGAGAGAGAGAGAGAGAGAGAGAGAGAGAGAGAGAGAAGUUUACAUGCUGGUAAUAUGGCAGACAGUGGAACUGGCAAAGGAACAAUUACAGGUGACACCAUACUCAAAUCCUUUGGCAGCAUUGGUAUCAGUCCAUGGUUUUUUUUUUUCCCUUCUUUUGUAAUGGAUAAUAAAUGCUUUUAAUUCUUUUCCUUUCAUGGAGAAGUUUAUUAUGUAAUUGCUAAUUGACAUUAAAAUUCACUUGUACUGUCAACCUUUUUCGGUUUGUAUAUAAGGUAAAUUUAAUCCACUCUAUUUUCAAAUCUUGGAUCCGUCUCUCGGGUGACACACCAUCAUCGUAUAUAUAUAAAUGCAUUUCCAUGUAAACCAAAUAAACCCGAUAAGAUCAUUUGGUAUAAGAUCAUUUGGUGUUAGGUAGAGAGAGAGAGAGAGAGAGAGAGAGAGAGAAGUUUACAUGCUGGUAAUAUGGCAGACAGUGGAAUUGGCAAAGGAACAAUUACAGGUGACGCCAUACUCAAAUCCUUUGGCCGGAUUGGUAUCAGUCCAUGGUUUUUGAUUGUUGCAUGGAUCUGCAUCUCCACUGAAAUCC
rnacentral:lncRNA from 1 species